UGUACUUUUGAUGGGAAAAUAGGUAUAUUUCCCUUCACUUUUGAUGAACCAGCAGCUAGAUCAAUUAAAAAUAGAGCUAGAGGUGUUAUUGAAGUUAAACCUAUUGAAAGUAUCACUAAAGUUGUGAUAAAACAAUGUCUAUUGGAAAAAAUCAUCCCAGCUAUUAAAGCUAAGUGGCCACUGGACUGCAAUAGACCUAUUGUUAUCCAACAAGAUAACGCAAGGCCUCAUAUAUGCAACACAGACUUGGAUUUCAUUGAGGUUGCAAAAUCUGAUGGAUUUAAUAUUACGUUAGCUAAUCAGCCGGCUAAUAGUCCGGACCUCAAUAUUAAUGAUUUAGGCUUCUUUAGAGUUAUUCAAGGGUUACAACAUGAAAAGGCGCCUACGACAGUGUGUGAGUUGGUUGGUGCAGUGCUUGAAGCGUACGAAGAAGUUAGUGAUUCUACUUUGAAUCAUGUAUGGCUAUCACUUAUGGGGUGUAUGACAGAGAUACUAAGGAAAGAUGGAAAUAAUAAUUAUAAGCUCCCACAUAUAGGAAAGGGAAAGUUGGAACGCCUCGGGCAACUACCUACAGUUUUGAAUGCUCUGCUGGAUGUAGUCCAGAAGGCACUGGAAAUGGCAACUGAAGUACCAAUGCUGUGAUUACCGACUGUUCAGACUUGUUUUUGACUACCAGACUUGUUUUUGACUACUCAGACUUGUUUUAAUCUUGUAAGCUUAACUAAACUACUGCACAGCUUCAAUUUUAAGUAUGCACAGGUUUGAUUUUAAGUAUGCACGUGUGUAUUUUAUAAUUAAUCAAGUAUCGCACAAGUAUUGUUAUGGUCAAAAUCUGAGUUCCUGGAGUUCGAUGUUUAGGCGAUAUGUUUGUAGCUAGGUUCAAUUUCUUGGGGCUUCAUUUAGCCACCAAGAUGCUUUACGUGUUGUUAUUGAAAGGAGUUGGAGUGAAAACAACAACUCAUGUCCAAACAAAAAAUUCAUAUCCUUAAUCAACCAGUACCAAUAAACAAACCCAAACAGCGAUAUAUCCCAAUUUCACACACAAGUAGGUUCCGAAAAGAACAAUAAUAAACUGAAUCAUCAAAUAAAUGAAGUUAUAAUUGGGAGGGUUGUGGGCUUACAGCAGAGUGUCCAAGGAAAGGAGAAAUGAAAGUGACAUUCGAAAUUAAUCAAGAACUCUGACUCUUCCAUCAGGACUGGCCUAGACAAGGUCUGCUACUAGGAAGCCAUCUAAUUAAAUGAACAAAAAAUAAAUAAAAUCAUAUCAGCAAAAUCAUAGGAAAAAAAUCUAGGGAAACAAAAUCAUAUCAACAAAAUCCAGUGAAACAUGACAUACUAUACCUGAAUUAAAGAAUCGAGGAAGAAAAAUAUGUAAGAGGCCAGUUGGGUCAUCAAAUUUCAACCUCUUCGCGGCCCUGAUAUCGCUCAAGCUUCGUUGUAAUUCGUCUUGUCUCACUUUUUCCGGCGUGUCCUCCACAACUUCAAACAAAUCCAGGUAAUUUUCGAUUAUAUAUAUAGACAAAUCUGUUCCGGGGAUCAGUAACGAUGAAGACGAUAUGGUUUCGGAAUCAAAACCACAGGUUGGGGCUGAUUUGUGAUUGCUAUUUUCCAUUACAAUUACAUCUAUUUGAUUGAUGAUAAGCGGGGGAAGUAAACGGAAAAUUUGGGGGCGGAAUUAGGGUUCAUAAUAUCAGCGGAGAAGACGAAGACCGAAGACGAAGAAAGAGAGAGUGAAAUGGGAAGUGAGAGAGUGAAAAGGGUCAAAAGUG
rnacentral:lncRNA from 1 species